UGGCCGUUGCGAGACACCUUUUCCGUCUGGAGGCAGCGCAUCCAAUGCGCUUUCCCUUUCUUCCUCCUCUCGCUGCUGCUCUCCCAGUGCUUCGGCGGUCAUCGAUGCGACCCAGGCCUGUGGCGGAGAAUCGAUUCCCCUCGCCUGCAGCCCCCAUGCUCCCCCAUCGAUUCUCGCCCGCGCGUCAUCUUGCAGCAACGGUCAGGUAAAUGUGCCGGAAACGGGCGGAAGUGGAGAAGCCACACUGCUCUCGAGUUGUCUGCGUCAUCCUCGAGGACGGUAAAAGCCGGCCGGCGUGCUCGAUGUGUGCAUCACGCAUCGGCGCUCGUCAAGCCACCCAGCUUUGGCAGACUGGCCAUGUUUGUGCUCAUACUCUCGGCCUCUCGGGUGACACAGCGCUGGCGUGAAGAGUCGCAUCAAGGCGUCCAAGCUGGCGGAGUUGAGGAGCCACCUCUAUUUGAGGCCGAGUGUGUGCAUGGUCAGAUAGAGAUGAGAGCGAAGAAGCGGAAGCGAGAGCGGGAGCUCUUGCGGAUCGCAUUGGAGGGGGCGAUUGUUGAAUACCCUCAAGCCGUGCCGAUCUCUGUCCGUGGCGCCGAUCUGGAGUCCGGCGAGGGUUCCUCCGACUCUGUCACCUCCGACGCGGGCAGCGCUAAGGCUGCAGCUGACGACGUGGUUCAUAUCGCGCAUGCCCUCUGUAAGGUUUGUGCCAAGUCUCCUAAAGCCGUCAACGAGUUUGUUCGAAGAGUGAGCCCUGCCACCGUCGGCCGUUCAAUUGAUUGGGACCUCGUCCGUGACAACGACUCAUCGAAGGCUACCGGGCUGGGUCGUGAUCCCCUUACUUCAGCCAUUGUCGCUAAUGAUUCAUGGUGGGAAAGCAAGAAUGCGGUAUGUACACUACAUGACCGCUGGAGCAGGUCGCCGGAGGGUGCAGGUCCGCUGGGUUGGUGGCAAGGCUUCCUCCUCAGUCCCCUUCCUAGAGAGGGGGCGGCACGGUGGGUCUCGCCUGGCUCCGGCGAGCGACGCAGUGGAGGUGAUGCUGACGGCGGUAGCGGUCGCGCCCGGUGGCAGUCGGCAAGGCAGGCGCCUAUGGCGUCGGUUGGCCGGGGGGUGGUGGCAGCGGUGGAGGUUGCCGACUCGGUGGGCGACAGCGGCAGACUUGGUGGGCGACAACGGCGCAAAGGUGGCAGCGGGUUGGGAGUCCAAGAACGGAGGAGGAUUCUGAAGUGUUGUAUUUCACAGCUGCACUAUAUAUUUGCUGUCAUCAUCCAGAAAAUAAUUCAUUUUUACAUAUCAUCUGUGCAUUAUGUAACUUCUUGGUGUCCACUUCUGUCACCAGUCAAGAAAGGUGUGAUCAGCUUCAAAAAUGAUCCUCUCAAGCACAUUGACAUUCACCACGUGGUAUUCAGCAGGCGCACCGUUGUCGGAAACCACUCGGCCAUCGUGGCGGCUGCGCCAGCCACACCACAAGGAGCAGUUCAGUGCUCGCAGCAGCUUAGGCCAUUCACAGUGCGCCACCAAGUUUUAGCAGCCGUGCAAUGGAGGCAGAGGCAGCUAAGGCUACAGGGCUUGAGGCUUGCUUGGAGUUGGUGGAAAAUGAUGGGCACCCUACUGGAGGCCCGGUGUCGUCUUUUCCGUGACCCAUUCCACUACCGUUGUUUCGUUCGCCUCAAGGACGCCGCCGCUCGCCUGGAAUAUAGUAUCACCACUCGUGGAAAUGGAGCUGAUUCCUCUUCUGGUGGCACACAGUAG
rnacentral:lncRNA from 1 species